rnacentral:rRNA from 1 species
UUUCUUCGGAAUGAAUUUGAUUUAGUUUAGUGGCGGACGGGUGAGUAACGCGUGAGUAACCUGCCUUCAAGAGGGGGAUAACAUUCUGAAAAGAAUGCUAAUACCGCAUGAUAUAUCGGAACCACAUGGUUCUGAUAUCAAAGAUUUUAUCGCUUGAAGAUGGACUCGCGUCCGAUUAGUUAGUUGGUGAGGUAACGGCUCACCAAGACCGCGAUCGGUAGCCGGACUGAGAGGUUGAACGGCCACAUUGGAACUGAGAUACGGUCCAGACUCCUACGGGAGGCAGCAGUGGGGAAUAUUGGGCAAUGGGCGAAAGCCUGACCCAGCAACGCCGCGUGAAGGAAGAAGGUCUUCGGAUUGUAAACUUUUGUCUUAUGGGACGAUAAUGACGGUACCAUAGGAGGAAGCCACGACUAACUACGUGCCAGCAGUCGCGGUAAUACGUAGGUGGCAAGCGUUAUCCGGAAUUAUUGGGUGUAAAGGGUGCGUAGGCGGGAUGUAAAGUCAGAUGUGAAAUACCGCAGCUUAACUGCGGGGCUGCAUUUGAAACUUACGUUCUUGAGUGAAGUAGAGGUAAGCGGAAUUCCUAGUGUAGCGGUGAAAUGCGUAGAUAUUAGGAGGAACACCGGUGGCGAAGGCGGCUUACUGGGCUUAUACUGACGCUGAGGCACGAAAGUGUGGGGAGCAAACAGGAUUAGAUACCCUGGUAGUCCACACUGUAAACGAUGAUUACUAGGUGUAGGGUGGCUGAACCAUUCUGUGCCGGAGUUAACACAAUAAGUAAUCCACCUGGGGAGUACGGCCGCAAGG